UGGGGAAUUUUGGACAAUGGGCGCAAGCCUGAUCCAGCCAUGCCGCGUGCGGGAAGAAGGCCUUCGGGUUGUAAACCGCUUUUGUCAGGGAAGAAAUCUUCUGAGUUAAUACCUCGGGAGGAUGACGGUACCUGAAGAAUAAGCACCGGCUAACUACGUGCCAGCAGCCGCGGUAAUACGUAGGGUGCAAGCGUUAAUCGGAAUUACUGGGCGUAAAGCGUGCGCAGGCGGUUUUGUAAGACAGAGGUGAAAUCCCCGGGCUCAACCUGGGAGCUGCCUUUGUGACUGCAAGGCUUGAGUGCGGCAGAGGGGGAUGGAAUUCCGCGUGUAGCAGUGAAAUGCGUAGAUAUGCGGAGGAACACCGAUGGCGAAGGCAAUCCCCUGGGCCUGCACUGACGCUCAUGCACGAAAGCGUGGGGAGCAAAACAGGAUUAGAUACCCUGGUAGUCCACGCCCUAAACGAUGUCAACUGGUUGUUGGGAAGGUUCCUUCUCAGUAACGUAGCUAACGCGUGAAGUUGACCGCCUGGGGAGUACGGCCGCAAGGUUGAAACUUAAAGGAAUUGACGGGGU
rnacentral:rRNA from 1 species